rnacentral:misc_RNA from 1 species
AAAAAAGAAAACCAAAAAAUGGCAGAGCUGGUUCACGUCGUUGUGCGAGGCAAAGUCCCCACGCGUUGGUCGUGUCUACAUACACACACUCUCUCUCUCUCUCUUUACACAGCAAUACAAAACUCCAGAAAGGAACCUUUCUCCACUGUGAUCUCUCUAUCUCUCUCUUCUUUCCUCUGUCCUUCCCUCACGGCGUCAUAAGACUCGGUUUCUUCCAACUUCUUCCUUCUUUCUUCCUUCUUUCCUGCUUCUGUCUUUUCCUUCCUCCUUUGUUUUCUAUCAAACCAGACUCUCUACAGGAAUACCCACGGGUCAUUUACCUGUUUUGUUUUCCUUUUCGUCUUUGGAUUGGAAGCUCAAGCUAAUGGUAUGGUUACUUCUUAAUCGUUAGAGAAACGUACAGGAUAUUGGAAGAAAGAUAAAACAUUGCGUUUUUGUGGGUUGAAGAGGUGAGCCAAAAUGGGAAACUGUAUACAUUCUUCUGCAGCUAAAGUAGAUACUACGCAAAGCUCACAUACUCCUUCUGGAGCCUCAAGAGUUUCCAGCAAAACCAGCCGUUCUUCAGUUCCUUCUACUCUGACCAUCCCAUCUUACAGUGGAAGGAGCAAUUUUGAAUGUCUUCCUACUCCAAGGACUGAAGGUGAAAUAUUGUCAUCCCCAAAUUUAAAGGCCUUCACAUUCAAUGAACUAAAGAAUGCCACCAGAAACUUUCGUCCCGACAGUCUUCUAGGUGAAGGUGGUUUUGGUUAUGUUUUUAAAGGAUGGAUUGAUGAAAACACAAUGACUCCUGCAAAGCCUGGAUCUGGAAUGGUUAUAGCUGUCAAGAAGCUUAAACCUGAAGGUUUCCAGGGCCACAAGGAGUGGUUGACAGAAGUUAAUUAUCUUGGCCAACUUCAUCAUCCAAAUCUGGUCAAGCUGAUUGGUUACUGCUUGGAGGGUGAGAACCGGCUUUUGGCAUAUGAGUUUAUGCCGAAAGGGAGUUUAGAGAAUCAUCUAUUCAGAAGUAAGUAAUGAAUUCAAAUGAUAUGAUCUGACAAUCAUUUGGUCAAUAUUCUAUCCUGUUCUACUUUCUUAAUUCUAGGAGAUUCAAAAUCCUUGUGUAAUGAAAUCAGAGAAAUUUAAUAUCCUUCCUGUGCUGACAUUGUGGUAAUUUAAUAGUGCUACACUUUCCUUUCCCAAUAGAUAAAGUGUUGGUUGGAUCCCUGUUUUUUUUCUAUCUUAGACUGGUCAUUUGCUUUUAGUGAUGAUGCCACAUGGAACUGUGACAGCCUCUUCUGGAUAUAAGUGCACUCUUGCAAAAUUUAAUGCUUCUCUUGCUCUUCCCACCGUGUUUUUUCUUGUAUCUGCUCUUCUUGUGGUUAUUUUCAGUUGUCUAAUGUGUUCUUAGAUAGAUUUGGUAGCCAAUUAUGCCUCGGGAUAAGUUAUCGUGUUAGAAAAGAGGAUGAAUAAAGGCCAAUAAUUUUCAAAGUUGCCAGGAGAACAUCUUUACUUGUCUUAAUCAUUUCUAUUCCCAAAUAUCCUUACUUGAGUCUUGAUGAACGUUAAUUACCUUAGUGAUUUUAAACAAUAGAUGCUGCAGUGUCACACAUGCAGAUUUUGGAGGACUUCAUAAAAUACCUAAAAGUGAAUAAUUAUUGGUUUGCUCAAAAUUUUUUGUGAUGUUGAUUUCUACUUAUUGUUUAUUGUUUUUACUUCUCUUCCAAAGCUCUGAGCCAUACUAUUUUUUUCCUCAACAAGUGUUCAAGAUGAAUAGAAUGUGUAAUUCAUGGGUUUUUUAAGGCUUGGCAUGUGGGUAUAAGCAGGCUUGCAAAUGAAGUAUCUGAAAGUCAUGAAAAUACCUGUGCAUACAUCUGAGAACACUUGGUAAACUUUGGUAAAUUUUGUUCUCCUCUCUAUUUAGGAGGGCCUCAGCCGCUAUCAUGGGCAGUGCGAAUAAAAGUGGCCAUAGGUGCUGCCAGAGGGCUAUCUUUCCUUCAUGAUGCAAAAUCCCAAGUCAUAUACCGUGAUUUUAAGGCUUCUAAUAUUCUACUGGAUGCGGUAUGCUGAAUAAAAAGGGGAAUGGAAUUUAUUCGCUAUUUAUGAAUGAUGGAUUUUUUUUUCCCAUAAAGGUGAUAUUGGAUCUGAUAUAUUUCUGGUGAUGAUAAUGCAUUGGAUUUGUGCAUGCAGGAUUUCAAUGCAAAACUCUCUGAUUUUGGUUUGGCCAAGGCAGGCCCUACUGGCGAUAGAACUCAUGUGUCCACUCAAGUCAUGGGUACUCAUGGCUAUGCCGCACCGGAAUAUGUUGCUACAGGUAGGUUGACAGCCAAAAGUGAUGUAUACAGCUUUGGGGUUGUGUUACUUGAACUCCUGUCUGGAAGGCGUGCUGUUGAUAAAACAAAGGUUGGUGCGGAGCAGAAUCUGGUAGAAUGGGCAAAACCCUAUCUUGGUGACAAGAGAAGAUUAUUCCGGAUAAUGGACACCAAGUUGGGGGCACAGUAUCCUCAGAAAGGAGCCUAUAUGGCUGCUAACCUUGCCUUACAGUGUCUAAGCUCUGAAGCCAAAGCCAGGCCUCGAAUGUCUGAGGUGUUAGCAACAUUGGAGCAAAUAGAGUCCCCAAAAACUACAAAAUAUUCCCAGUCAGAGCUUCAAACUGUUCGGAAAUCCCCAAUGAGACAUCAUCAUUCUCCUCUUAAUCUAACACCAAGCGCAUCCCCAUUGCCAUCCCACCGGCCAUCUCCACGACUUCGUUGAUUAGAUCGUGUCUGUAAAUUUUACAUUCACUUGCAUAUGUUCUUGUAUAAGAUCUAAUUUGGGCGUGUAUCUCGCAGCAAUUUUGAUUCCUACUAAAACAGAUUAUCACCAUUGUCACCACCCGUACUCUGGAAGAUCUGUAGCUUUGUUUUCGGGGUAAUCUGCAUUUCAGUCAUGUAAUUGUAUCUGGUGUCAAUAGCCUUUUUGCUUGAUACAUGCAUUCUAAAGGAUGGCAAUUGUUCUCCGCCCCAACCGAUCUAUGCAGAUCAAUUUUUUUCGACCUCUCUGAUCUUGAUACAAUAAUUCUCCCUUGGAGGGAUUAUUG